AACCUGCCCAAGAGACUGGGAUAACACCUGGAAACAGAUGCUAAUACCGGAUAACAACACUAGACGCAUGUCUAGAGUUUAAAAGAUGGUUCUGCUAUCACUCUUGGAUGGACCUGCGGUGCAUUAGCUAGUUGGUAAGGCAACGGCUUACCAAGGCAAUGAUGCAUAGCCGAGUUGAGAGACUGAUCGGCCACAUUGGGACUGAGACACGGCCCAAACUCCUACGGGAGGCAGCAGCC
rnacentral:rRNA from 1 species